GAUGAACGCUAGCGGCAGGCUUAACACAUGCAAGUCGAGGGGCAGCGAGAUUGAUGCUUGCAUCAAUUGUCGGCGACCGGCGCACGGGUGCGUAACGCGUAUGCAACCUACCUCAAACAGGGGCAUAACACUGAGAAAUUGGUACUAAUUCCCCAUAAUAUUUUGGAGGGCAUCCUCUGAAGUUGAAAACUCCGGUGGUUUGAGAUGGGCAUGCGUUGUAUUAGCUAGUUGGUGAGGUAAUGGCUCACCAAGGCGACGAUACAUAGGGGGACUGAGAGGUUAACCCCCCACAUUGGUACUGAGACACGGACCAAACUCCUACGGGAGGCAGCAGUGAGGAAUAUUGGUCAAUGGACGAGAGUCUGAACCAGCCAAGUAGCGUGCAGGAUGACGGCCCUCUGGGUUGUAAACUGCUUUAGUGGAAUAAAAGAGGACGUGUCCCUAAUUGUAUGUACCAUC
rnacentral:rRNA from 1 species